rnacentral:lncRNA from 1 species
AACUGCCAUGAUGCCUUCUAAGUCUGACCUUGAUCCAGGCAGCACUCCUGGCAGCUGGUGAGCCAGGGACAAAAGAUUUAAUGGAAUAAAUGAGUACAAAUUUCCCUACGGUCUUCUGACAGCAAGAUGUCAGCAGUCCUCCCUGUUGUGAUAGAUUGCAUAGGAUGUGCUUCCGGAUCCAAAGGAACAAUCGACAGACGUCACAAAGAUCCACCUCUGGCUGCCAUCAGAAAGUUAUGCUCCUGGCGCCACCAGCGAGUGCACCCCGCUAAUGGGUCGGGGACAGAAGAAACCCCGGGCUCCCAUGAAAGGCUGCCCAGCACCGCAGGAGGAAUAGAGGCUCCAAGUGGCUGCACAAUGCCGGCCGAUGACGCAACUAAUAAUAAUGGCAUGGCUUUGGAGCGCCCCACUCCAGUGACAAACAAUCGGGGUGAAGAAGAAGAAGGUGGGUCUUCCUUGCGGGCAUUGGUUGGAGAGCAGCCAGAUCCUGGUUCCUUUUGGAAAGGGGGUAGUCUGGGAUGUGGAGCAGGCAGCUCUUUCCCAGUCAUAGUGAUGCCCUGGUGGCACCUGCCCUGGACACAAGUCUCUUGUGUUGAUUCCUUGGGUUGUGACACAUUCCGAGGGACAGGGAGUGAGGUCCAUGUGUGAGCACAUGUGGUGUAAGUAUCUGUUUCCUCAUGAGCUCUCUCCUAUUUAUACAGAAAAUACACCGCUCAACGUUCCUUAAGAAACAUCCCAUCACCUCUGCGUACCACCCCUAUAGGCAUGCAUUCGCCCUCACCACUGCUGUCCCCACGUUGGCUUAAUUUUCCCGUUGCUCAGGUGGAGAUGGUGCAGAGAGAGUUGGCCCAAGCUCUUGACCUCCUACAUGGGAAAGCCAAAGUGGGACCCAGGCUGGGUCCCUAUGGGGACGCUCUGGACCCCUGACCUGCACCUCUCCCUCAGCCAGGACUUGGUCGUUCGUGGGGAGCACGGAGCGGGGAGGGUCCCUGCUCC